rnacentral:rRNA from 1 species
GGAUGCGAUGAUACCAGCACUAAAGCACCGGAUCCCAGUUAAGCGUGCUUGGGCGAGAGUAGUACUAGGAUGGGUGACCUCCUGGGAAGUCCUCGUGUUGCAUUCC